rnacentral:misc_RNA from 1 species
GGGAAACGUACUUCUUGGCGUUACCUAUAGCCCAACUCUUCCCAAUAUCCGGCGGGAAAGUGGACGAAUUUUCCCAUUCUUUCCUACUCACUCACCCUUAGCAGUACCUCAAUACUUUCUCGGGAAAAUUAAACCCCGAGAAACAAACAGAAGAAAACGAUUUUUUUUUUCUCUCACCAUGACAAAAUCUUACGAUCCCCGUACCCAAACCUACUCCUCUCCAAGACCGCGAGUUCAUCUCCCUACAAACCCCGACCUUUCCCUUACCUCUUUCCUCUUCCACUCCACUUUUUCUUCCUCUUGCACCGCUGCUCUUAUCGACGCUGACUCCGGCGACACUCUAACCUUCGAGCAGCUCAGGAUCCAAGUGUCCAAGCUGGCUCACGUCUUGCUCGAGCUUAACAUAGUUAAAAACGAUGUCGUUCUUAUUUUGGCCCCGAAUUCUAUCCAUUUCCCCGUUUGCUUCCUCGCAAUCGUCUCCACCGGUGCUAUCGCUUCCACCUGUAAUCCGGGGUAUACUACAGCUGAGAUCUCUAAGCAAGUCAAAGACUGUAAUCCGAAGCUCAUAAUUACCAUCCCUCAACUUCUCCACAAAGUAAAACCGUUCAAUUUGUCAUUAAUUCUAUUAAAUUCUCCAAAUUCCGACGGUUUAGUAUCAAACUCUAAGAUUUGGAAUUAUUCAGAUUUGAUAAAAUUAUCCGGCGAAGUUUCCGAUUUACCGGUGAAUGAUGUGAAACAAAACGACGUCGCUGCUCUUUUCUACUCUUCCGGCACCACAGGCACGAGCAAGGGAGUGAUAUUGACUCACAGGAACUUCAUUGCCACAUCGGUUAUGGUGACGGCUGAUCAAGAUAGAUACAUGGAACCGGAAAACGUGUUCUUGUGUUUCCUGCCGAUGUUUCACAUAUUUGGAUUUGCGGUAACUACUUACUCGCAGCUUAGGAGAGGGAAUGCUGUGGUUUCGAUGGAGAAGUUCGAGCUGGAUAAGAUGUUAAGGAGUAUCGAGAGGUAUAGAGUUACGCAUUUGUACGUGGUGCCGCCAGUGAUGAUUGCCUUGGCGAAGCAGAACGCUGUGAAGAAAUUUGAUUUGUCGUCAUUGAAGCUCAUUGGAUCAGGGGCGGCGCCAAUGGGGAAAGACGUGAUGGAGGAGUGCGCGAAGAAUCUACCUCAUGUCGAUAUUAUCCAGGGAUAUGGCAUGACAGAAACUUGUGGAAUUAUUUCAAUAGAGAAUCCAAGGGAAGGAACUCGGCUAUCCGGUUCAACUGGGGUACUUGUUCCUGGUGUUGAAUCCCAAAUAGUUAGUGUAGAAACGUCAAAGCCUCUUCCACCUAAUGAACUGGGAGAAAUAUGUCUUCGAGGAGCAAAUAUGAUGCAAGGUUAUUUUAACAAUCUGCAAGCUACAAAGCUGACAAUAGAUGGGCAAGGUUGGGUACACACUGGAGAUCUUGGAUAUUUUAAUGAAGAAGGACAAUUAUUUGUUGUGGACCGUAUUAAAGAGCUUAUCAAGUGUAAUGGCUUUCAGGUAAAAUUUGGGUGAUGGACUGAUAGUCAAAUACUAAAAUGUAUUAGUCUAUAGAAUAUAAAUCCAAAAGCGUACUACUUUUGGAGCUAAGCUUCCUGUUUUUUCCAGGUUGGGUAACUGAUCCAAAUUAAUAUCUUAAUGUAACUAUGCUGACUGAGACCUUUCAAUUUGUUCACUAAAUCCUUAUUUUUUAUGGAUGCACUAGAGUGUUAUCGGAUUUUGUCCUCUUUCAUGGAAAUGAAUUCCAGCUUUCCUCUGCUUUAUUUAUUAAUGGUGCUGUGAUGAUACUCACUGUUAAUCUGAAAACAUGAAAGCACUUCUUUAUGCAUUUCAUCAUUCAUAACACCAUCCCAAUAGUCUGGUUCAAUUUUCUAGUUAAUGGUUUAAAUUUCUAAUACUAACAUAACUUGCUGCGUAAACUACUAAAUUUCAGUUUUCAAGUUACUAAAAGUUCCCCAUUCUUGUAGUUGUCACCCUCAUCUACAUUGAGUGCUCAAUAUCUUCAGAAUUUAGGUGCCUGAAACAGUCUAUAUUUAGAAGCCUACUUAAAGUUUUGUAUGGCCCUGCUGUCAAAGCCCUGUUAUGCAGGCAGGGGCUUCAGAGGUUGGAUUAUACAUAUAGGCUAUAGCAAAUUUGUGGACAUUUAAACUCACAUUCCAAUUUAUUCUAUUCUAAAUGCAUUCUUGAUAACCUAGUGAAUUAAUUGGUCAAGGAAUCAAGUUUUAUGUUUCUGAUUUGUUAUUGGUAGGUCGCACCAGCGGAGCUUGAGGGUUUACUGCUUUCUCAUCCUGAAAUAAUAGAUGCUGUUGUCAUCCCAUUCCCUGAUUCUAAAGCUGGGGAGGUCCCAAUUGCAUAUGUUGUUUGCUCCCCUAACAGCUCCCUUACUGAAGAAGAUAUUCAGAAAUAUAUAGCAGAUCAGGUAAUAGACUUACCUACAUUAAUACCCCAAGUAAAACUAAAUUACUAUUAUCAGACUUUUGACUCGAUUUUAUGGAUCUAGUAGAACUCUGUAAAGUGACGACUCUUUUAAUUGUUAUUGUUACGGGGCAUGAUGCUUCUUAUAGCAAAUAUGGUCAGUUGUAUAAUGUAUCACAACAUAGACCAUCUCAUUAAUGGAUCAUGAAUACAUAGAGUUAGAUGUCUAGUGAUAGCAGUAAAUGAUAUUCCAUGGUGGUAAAGUCUUGCCUACACCAAAGAGUACUGCAACGGUUGUGUGCCAAGUACUUCCAGUGUAAUGAUACACGCUCAUUCAUACUUGGCACUUACCUAUUGGUUUGGUAUAAUGCUCAUGGUGCAGGCAAGAAUUUCACUACUGUGUACCUCAUUCUUAUCUUCUU